UAUACAGAAUGUUGAUAUAUUCGUGGACAUCUUUGGAGAGUGGAGUUUUUUCUUUUUAGAAUAGAAAGUUAAUUUAAAGGAAACAUAAAAAAUAUACAUAAAAAUAUCAAUUGAGAUUUAUUUGUUAAAUUAUAAAUCAUUUUGCAUAAAAGUUGUAAAACAAGAAUUUUACAAAAGUAAGAAUCUCCAAUAAGAAUGUAUUCAUUCGAAUACAUGUCUACGGAGAAUAUUAAACAUGGUUCAAUGGCCACUAUGAUUUCAGAAUUUCCAGAAUCAUGGAAGUCAAAUUGAAAUUUAUGCAACACUGAUUGCAUAGUAUUAGAAGGAUGGAACUAAAUAUAUCGACCUAAUAAUUUCUGCGUGGGCAAAUUGUACGUGUUGGAUAUCAAACGAGAAAUUAUAAUUUUGCCAAACGCCCUACAAUUUCGAUUCUAUUCAUUUUGGGUUCUUUGACCUUGAAGAUCGAAGAAAGUUAAUAACAAUGAAUGCAUUGUUAAUUGCAACUAAGAAUUUCGAAUUACUUUAACAAUUUCUCAUUUGAAAAUUAUGUUGGAAAUUAUAAUCAUGUGGAAUUAGAAUUUUAUUCAUUUUUCACGAAAUUAAUAAUAUUUUGUCAAACAUUAGUAAAGUUAAUUAAAUAUUUUAUGUUCUAUUAAUUUUAUUUUAUGAAUUAAUAAAAAUAUUAUGAUUUUAUGUUAUAAAAAUUUUUCUUUUUCUAUUUUUUAACAUUAAUGAAAAAAUCUUGAUUCUAUUGUUUAAUAAAGAAAUAGAUAUAAUUUUUUUUUAUAAGACUUUCUAAACUCGUUAACGCACUAUGUAAUUAAAUAUCUAAUUAAAA